UGUGUACAUGCAUGCAUACAUACAUACUGUCAGAACCACCUGGCUCAAGGUAGAAAUUAUAAAGGAAGUCCACACCGAUGUUACAUUUUAAAUCAAUAAUUAUUAUUACAUCAAAGUUCAAAAGAUAUCAGUAAUUUAGGCGAACCAAAAGUGGGGUUCAAGUCAGCAUGAUUCAAUGCAAUGUAGAAAGGAGAUGCGGGGAAAGAAGAGAUAGGCGCUGCAGCCAGCUCCCAUAGUGGCAGGGCCAGAGUAGCAGAUCAGAGAGAGUGAGCUGCCUUGGAGGAACUAGCUUUAUGCUCUCUCCAAUCAGCAGCCCAUCAGCCAUAAUCUCAAACCAGGACAGCUCCCCCUGCAGGCCAGUAGGGAGAGAGCCGGGCGUGACAUUACAUUACAUCACAUCACAUACAUACUUGCAUCCAUCCAUCCAUCCAUACGUUGAUUGAAAUGCACUGUCAAGGUAUGAUAUGUAGUUCUGCCAUUAGGGGUCACUCAACCAAAACAAAGAUGUAGUUUAAUGAUUUCAGAGGUCGUGUGGGAUCAUGGGAGUUGUUGUCUUCACCACCGUUACUGCUGAAAGACGUUCUUUUUUAUUUAUUUUUAAUCCAGUCCCGCUAGCUCUACAACAGUUACCAGCAGGUAAAGAACUCUGUGGCCAUUGGAGCUCUAGUUUGACUGUCACACACACAGACUGUAUCUAAUACAGGUUAAACUGACUUUACAUACUGUAUAUAAUACAGGUUGAACUGACUUAACAUACACUAUAUAAUACAGGUUAAACUGACUUAAAAUACACUGUAAAUAAAACGGCUUAAACAGAUUUUACUGUUGUGUACACUAGUGGAAACUACUGUAAGCUUUUUUCACCCUAAAUAAAGCCCCUGCAAAACCAGUCAACGAUUACUCGUUGAGAUUUAGACGUAUUCAGUGUAUUCAACUCAAGUUUAUUUUUCUCUGAAAUCCCUUAUAAUGAUUUGUAAAUCUUAAUUGCAUUUAUUAAUGAAUUUGUUCAGCCGUCUUCUCUGUGGGAAAUGUCAACAACAAUAAUUCCUCUAUGAAUCUCGUUUGGAACAGUGUCCCCAGAGAAGAGGGGCUAUUCAUAAACACCGUUGUCAUGUAAAAAUAGUCGCUGUAUGGGAAACAAUAUUCUUCAUCAGGACAGAUAAUAUAGGACAAAAAAUUGUAUAAUAAUGACUCGUCCAAGUUAAGUCUAUUUGUGUGAAGCACUGCAUUCACUUGGUGGCUGGCAUCAGGCUAUGAUCAAAGUAUUAAUCGCAGCAAGCAAUAUAGUUAUUGAAAUAUCAUAUCAAUACAUUAUGUCUCCUCUGGACGACUGUGUUUACGUUUUCAUCUUAAGCUAGGGGGUAAAGGGCAUGAAGCCAUCGACAUGAGACCAAAUGUAACCGGCUGUAACCGUGAAUAAACAACAAAAUCUUUUUGCACAUCGUUGGAAACGGUGUGGUGUACUGCAACUACACAACUCAACAAAAUAUAUGACAUGGGUGAAGUCGUUUAUAGAUUUUGAAUGCGGGAAUGUUCUAUAUGACACCUUUAUGGCUUUGUGCAUUUGGUGUUGCAACCUAAACUUAGUCUUCUCCGUGACAAAAUUAUGGCUUGGUUGCUUUUUUGAGUAUUGAGAAUCUCCGUUAUAUCAACGGCAAGUGAAGAUUAGAGUGUACUUAUAGAACCGUGCCUUAUGGAAGUGUUUGCAGAACUUUGCAUAACAAGCCAACAUUGGAGCCAAAAGUGUCAGAAUCUGAGCAGGGUAACACACCUCGAUCACAUGAAUAAAACAUCAACAGCCCUAACAUCAGGCGAGCAUGAGCAGUCUGGAGAAGAAAUUGGUGCCACUGAUCCAACAAUGCCAUUGAUUUCGGAUCCUACCUAUUAAGAGAAGCUGCUCAGUAUUGUGGAAGGAUGUGAUGAUGUGUCCAUUUCAUUGAGGCUUGCCUCUGUAUUAUCAUUUCUAGCUUUUAGUUUUCUAUGUAUAAAUAUAUCGAACAUUAAAGAAGAUCAUUUAGCCAGCAGUGAGCUGGCUAAAUGACCUGUCGCUAAGCUCCAGCCUUAGAACGCAGAUGAGCCAAUGACUUUCCAGCCUCAAUUAUACUCGGACAUCGGCUCAGACAACUCCAUUGAAAACAACAGGGAGGAGGCAUAAUAUAACAAUUUAAUGGUGGAUUUAUGUUGUUUGUGUAAAA